rnacentral:rRNA from 1 species
GACGAACGCUGGCGGCGUGCUUAACACAUGCAAGUCGAACGGAAAGGCCUCUUUCGGGGGGUACUCGAGUGGCGAACGGGUGAGUAACACGUGAGUAACCUGCCCUUGACUUUGGGAUAACUUCAGGAAACUGGGGCUAAUACCGGGUAGGAGCUCCUGCUGCAUGGUGGGGGUUGGAAAGUUUCGGCGGUUGGGGAUGGACGCGCGGCUUAUCAGCUUGUUGGUGGGGUAGUGGCUUACCAAGGCUUUGACGGGUAGCCGGCCUGAGAGGGUGACCGGCCACAUUGGGACUGAGAUACGGCCCAGACUCCUACGGGAGGCAGCAGUGGGGAAUAUUGCACAAUGGGUGGAAGCCUGAUGCAGCAACGCCGUGUGCGGGAUGACGGCCUUCGGGUUGUAAACCGCUUUCGCUCAUGACGAAGCUUUGUGUGACGGUAGUGGGUAAAGAAGCACCGGCUAACUACGUG